rnacentral:tRNA from 1 species
GGGGCGGUGGUGUAGUUGGGAGUCACAUUCGACUGAAGAUCGAAAGGUCACCCGUUCGAUCCGGGUUCGUCCCA